GCCGAGGUGGCGGAAUUGGCAGACGCGUACGUUUGAGGGGCGUAUGGGAGUUCCCCGUGAGGGUUCAAGCCCCUCCCUCGGCACCA
rnacentral:tRNA from 2 species